UUUGGGGAAGUAAUUUCUUCGGUCGAUUCUCAAACUUUAAAUACGCAAGAAAGGGUUGGUUGCUUAAUUGAACUACUCUAUUGAAAAUGUCUGCCCUGUGGGCCACUUUUGGUAAGCAGAACUGGCGAUAUGGGAUGAACCAUAAGUCUGGUUAAGGCGUCAAAUUGCACGCUUAGAGAUUCCACAAAAGGUGUUGGUUCAUCCAGACAGCAGGACGGUGGCCAUGGAAGUCGGAAUCCGCUAAGGAGUGUGUAACAACUCACCUGCCGAAUGAACUAGCCCUGAAAAUGGAUGACGCUUAAGCGGGCAGCCGACACCGGACCGUUUUCGUAAGAAGUCACGAAAAUGAGUAGGAGGGCGUGGCGGUUUUGUUGGAAAGGUUUGGACGCGAGUCUGACUGGAACAGCCGCUAGUGCAGAUCUUGGUGGUAGUAGCAAAUAUUCAAGCGAGAUCCUUGAAGGGCGAAGCGAGGAAGGGUUCCACGCGAACAUUGAUUGGGCGUGGGUGAGUCGUUCCUAAGCCGGGUGGUAAUCGUUCUAACGAUCGGCGAAAGGGAAGCGGGUUAAAAUUCCUGCACACGGAUGUGGAAGCGGUGACGCAAGUUGACAUGGAGACGUUGGCGGUGGCGCUAGGCAGAGUUUUCUUUUCUGUUUGACCUCAGAGUGCGUGCUGUGGAAUCCGAUUAUCGGGAGAAACAGGCGCCGAUGGGCAGAGCGUCGGGGCAUCCCCGGCGUCUAGCACGCCACCGACAGCCCUUGAAAAUCUAUGUGCAAUUAAAUUUCANCGCCGUGGCGUACCGAUAACCGCAUCAGGUCCUCAAGGUGAACAGCCUCUGCUCAAUAUGAACAAUGCAGGUAAGGGAAGUCGGCAAAAUAGACCCGUAACUUUGGGAAAAGGGUUGGCUCUAGUGGAGUGGGGGAUUUUAAGGGAUCUCGAGGUUUUGGCGCUUAGCUGAACUUUGCGGCUAAG
rnacentral:rRNA from 1 species